AUUGAACGCUGGCGGCAGGCCUAACACAUGCAAGUCGAACGAGUGGCGGACGGGUGAGUAAUGUUUGGGAAACUGCCUGAUGGCGGGGGAUAACUACUGGAAACGGUCGCUAAUACCGCAUACCAUCGGAUGUGCCCAGGUGGGAUUAGCUAGUGGGUGGGGUAACGGCUCACCUAGGCGACGAUCCCUAGCUGGUCUGAGAGGAUGACCAGCCACACCGGAACUGAGACACGGUCCAGACGCCGACGGGAGGCAGCAGUGGGGAAUAUUGCACAAGGGGGGCAAGCCUGAUGCAGCCAUGCCGCGUGAAUGAUGAAGGCCUUCGGGUUGUAAAGUACUUUCAGCGGGGAGGCGUUACCCGCAGAAGAAGCACCGGCUAACUCCGUGCCAGCAGCCGCGGUAAUAC
rnacentral:rRNA from 1 species